rnacentral:rRNA from 1 species
AGAACGAACGCUGGCGGCAUGCCUAAUACAUGCAAGUCGAACGAACACUUCGGUGUUAGUGGCGCACGGGUGCGUAACGCGUGGGAAUCUGCCCUUGGGUUCGGAAUAACAGUUGGAAACGACUGCUAAUACCGGAUGAUAUCGAAAGAUCAAAGAUUUAUCGCCCAGGGAUGAGCCCGCGUAGGAUUAGCUAGUUGGUGAGGUAAGGCUCACCAAGGCGACGAUCCUUAGCUGGUCUGAGAGGAUGAUCAGCCUACACGUGGGACUGAGACACCGGCCCAGACCUCCGUACGGGAGCAG